CCAUUAAAAAGGAGGUAGCCUCCAUAAUCAUAAAUGUGGUUUAUCCAGGCUGAGGCUUAUCCAUUCUUUUCACUCCAUAUGUGUUGACCCUUGUGAUUUUCCCAAAUGUGGAAAACUGAACUGCAUAAUUUGCUAUAGUAGGGGGGCUCCUC
ensembl:snRNA U1 U1 spliceosomal RNA